rnacentral:rRNA from 1 species
AGUCAACAUGCCCAGGGGACGUGGAUAACCUCGGGAAACUGAGGAUAAACCGCGAUAGGUCAUCACUUCUGGNAUGGGUAAUGACUUAAACCUAUAUGGCCCCUGGAUUGGACUGCGGCCGAUCAGGCUGUUGGUGAGGUAAUGGCCCACCAAACCUGUAACCGGUACGGGCUCUGAGAGGAGGAGCCCGGAGAUGGGCACUGAGACAAGGGCCCAGGCCCUAUGGGGCGCAGCAGGCGCGAAACCUCUGCAAUAGGCGAAAGCUUGACAGGGUUACUCUGAGUGAUUUCCGUUAAGGAGAUCUUUUGGCACCUCUAAAAAUGGUGCAGAAUAAGGGGUGGGCAAGUCUGGUGUCAGCCGCCGCGGUAAUACCAGCACCCCGAGUGGUCGGGACGUUUAUUGGGCCUAAAGCAUCCGUAGCCGGUUCUACAAGUCUUCCGUUAAAUCCACCUGCUUAACAGAUGGGCUGCGGAAGAUACUAUAGAGCUAGGAGGCGGGAGAGGCAAGCGGUACUCGAUGGGUAGGGGUAAAAUCCGUUGAUCCAUUGAAGACCACCAGUGGCGAAGGCGGCUUGCCAGAACGCGCUCGACGGUGAGGGAUGAAAGCUGGGGGAGCAAACCGGAUUAGAUACCCGGGUAGUCCCAGCUGUAAACGAUGCAGACUCGGUGAUGAAUUGGCUUAUUGCUAAUUCAGUGCCGCAGGGAAGCCGUUAAGUUUGCCGCCUGGGGAGUACGGUCGCAAGACUGAAACU